rnacentral:tRNA from 1 species
GCCUAGUUAGCUUAGUUGGUAGAGCGUCUGCCUUGUAAGCGCUAGGCCGCGGGUUCGAUUCCCGCCCGGAGCG